rnacentral:tRNA from 1 species
GCCGGCGUGGCGGAAUGGCAUACGCAGGGGACUUAAAAUCCUUGGACGCGCAAGCGUCGUGCGGGUUCGAGUCCCGCCGCCGGCACCA